rnacentral:rRNA from 1 species
CCUACGGGUGGCAGCAGUGGGGAAUAUUGGGCAAUGGGCGCAAGCCGGACCCAGCAACGCCGCGUGAAGGAAGAAGGCGUUCGGGUGGUAAACUUCUGGUGUCAGGGAAGAGGAGAAGACGGGACCUGACGAAUAAGCCACGGCUAACUACGGGCCAGCAGCCGCGGUAAUACGUAGGUGGCAAGCGGUGUCCGGAUUUACUGGGUGGAAAGGGCGGGUAGCCGGGUUGACAAGUCAGAUGGGAAAUCCUGCGGCGUAACCGCAGAACUGCAUUUGAAACUGGUGAUCUUGAGUACUGGAGCGGCCGCCUGACUUCCUCGUGUAGCGGUGAACUGCUUAGAU